AUUGAACGCUGGCGGAAUGCUUUACACAUGCAAGUCGAACGGCAGCACGGACUUCGGUCUGGUGGCGAGUGGCGAACGGGUGAGUAAUGUAUCGGAACGUGCCCAGUCGUGGGGGAUAACGUAGUGAAAAUUACGCUAAUACCGCAUACGAUCUAUGGAUGAAAGCGGGGGAUCGCAAGACCUCGCGCGAUUGGAGCGGCCGAUAUCAGAUUAGGUAGUUGGUGGGGUAAAGGCCCACCAAGCCAACGAUCUGUAGCUGGUCUGAGAGGACGACCAGCCACACUGGAACUGAGACACGGUCCAGACUCCUACGGGAGGCAGCAGUGGGGAAUUUUGGACAAUGGGCGAAAGCCUGAUCCAGCCAUUCCGCGUGCAGGAUGAAGGCCCUCGGGUUGUAAACUGCUUUUGUCAGGGAAGAAAAGUUCUGGGUUAAUACCCUGGGGCGAUGACGGUACCUGAAGAAUAAGCACCGGCUAACUACGUGCCAGCCGCCGCGGUAA
rnacentral:rRNA from 1 species